UUAUGGAGGCAUUCCUCUGCCCUUUUGGUGCAAGGGAAGGCCCUUUUCUUACAUGAAGAGUGGAUUUCUCCCUCCCAGCCUCUAGGUCAGAAUAUAUAUAUAUAUAUUUUCCUUUUUUAUUUUGGUUGUAGAUCUGUUAUGCUUUAAUGAGAGGGUGUUUGUUGAAGAUUUGAGAAAUGGUAGUCGACUUGUGUGUGGGGUGUUGUUUUUUUUUGGCUCUAAGGGUAGCUCUAUUGAUAGCAGUGAAGUAUGGGGUCCUAAUAAUGACCCUGAUAGAUGGUGCUUGACCCUAAGGCUACAAAAGAGUGAGGCAUCAUCGACUCUACCAUG
rnacentral:misc_RNA from 1 species